UACGUAGGGGGCAAGCGUUAUCCGGAAUUACUGGGUGUGAAGGGAGCGUAGACGGUAAUGUAAGUCUGGAGUGAAAGGCGGGGGCCCAACCCCCGGACUGCUCUGGAAACUAUGUUACUAGAGUGCAGGAGAGGUAAGCGGAAUUCCUAGUGUAGCGGUGAAAUGCGUAGAUAUUAGGAGGAACACCAAUGGCGAAGGCGGCUUACUGGACUGUAACUGACGUUGAGGCUCGAAAGCGUGGGGAGCAAACAGG
rnacentral:rRNA from 1 species